AUCGUUCAAUCUGUUGAAUGCAGAUCGGAAGUAGGAUAAAAUCUGAAGGAACGCGGA
ncrna:unclassified sequences Glutamine riboswitch